CGACAACGAUGCCUCAUUAGAGAGCGAUAAUCUGUCAUCAAUUAUCACUUUUAUUUCUAUAUAAUAUUUUUUUAUGGUUUAAUUUUUUUAAAAAAUUUUAAAAUUAAAAAAAAUCAAACUAACUAUUGGAUAGAAAUUAAAUUAACACGUGCUGGCGAAUUAGGGGUUUUCCACAAUAUGACGUUGUUGGAAGUUUUUCACUGAAAUUUUAUCCGAAUAAAGAAAUGUACAAGUAGCAUUUUUCAUCAUUUAAGGAGCCUCCGCACCUUUUUAUAUUUUUUUUCAUUUUAAUCCUCCAAAAAACUAUAAUUA
rnacentral:lncRNA from 1 species